UCCAAAACUGCAUACUUCUUCAUAUGCCCAUAUGAAAUGCUUUGCUAUGGAAUGUAAAGAAGUAUGUAUUUUUGGG
rnacentral:pre_miRNA from 13 species